CUGCCAGUAGUCAUAUGCUUGUCUCAAAGAUUAAGCCAUGCAUGUCUAAGUCCAAGCUGUGUUCACACGGCGAGACCGCGGACGGCUCAUUAAAUCAGUCGUGGUCCAAAUGGGCCAGUGCAAAUCCUACUUGGAUAACUGUGGUAAUUCCAGAGCUAAUACAUGCAACUGAUAUCCCGAAGGCGGUGUUUGGGCUUGCUUGCCUUGCGCUGCGCUGCUCUGACGGAUGCUUUUAUUAGACCAAGCCGCUGAGGACUUGAGGGUUCGCGCUCUCUUGUCUGACUCGUGUGAUGGUGACUCUGGAUAACCAAAUUCUGACAAGCGCACGUACUUCUCUUCUGAGCGAGACGGCGCUGCCACUUUCGAGUGUCUGCCUUAUCAGCUAUCAACCGUUCGUUAUGCGCGACCGAUGGCUUUGACGGGUAACGGGGAAUCAGGGUUCGAUUCCGGAGAGGCAGCCUGAGAGACGGCUACCACGUCCAAGGACGGCAGCAGGCACGCAAAUUACCCAAUCCCAGCAAAUGGGGGAGGUAGUGACGAAAUCUAACGAUGCGGGCGCCCUUUCUGGGGCCCCGCAAUCGGAAUGGGCACUUUCUAAACAACCUGUUGAGAACC
rnacentral:rRNA from 1 species